rnacentral:rRNA from 1 species
ACCCCUUUUCUCUGGGAAGAAAGUUGUGAAAGCAACCUGACGGUACCAGAGGAAUCAGCAUCGGCUAACUCCGUGCCAGCAGCCGCGGUAAGACGGAGGAUGCAAGCGUUAUCCGGAAUGAUUGGGCGUAAAGCGUCCGCAGGUGGCAGUUCAAGUCUGCUGUCAAAGACCGGGGCUUAACUUCGGAAAGGCAGUGGAAACUGAACAGCUAGAGUGCAGAAGGGGAGAGUGGAAUUCCAUGUGUAGCGGUGAAAUGCGUAGAUAUAUGGAGGAACAC